rnacentral:rRNA from 1 species
GACGAACGCUGGCGGCGUGCUUAACACAUGCAAGUCGAACGGAAAGGCCCUGCUUUUGUGGGGUGCUCGAGUGGCGAACGGGUGAAUAACACGUGAGUAACCUGCCCUUGACUUUGGGAUAACUUCAGGAAACUGGGGCUAAUACCGGAUAGGAGCUCCUGCUGCAUGGUGGGGGUUGGAAAGUUUCGGCGGUUGGGGAUGGACUCGCGGCUUAUCAGCUUGUUGGUGGGGUAGUGGCUUACCAAGGCUUUGACGGGUAGCCGGCCUGAGAGGGUGACCGGCCACAUUGGGACUGAGAUACGGCCCAGACUCCUACGGGAGGCAGCAGUGGGGAAUAUUGCACAAUGGGCGGAAGCCCGAUGCAGCAACGCCGCGUGCGGGAUGACGGCCUUCGGGUUGUAAACCGCUUUCGCCUGUGACGAAGCGUGAGUGACGGUAAUGGGUAAAGAAGCACCGGCUAACUACGUG